UACGGGGGGGGCAAGCGUUGUUCGGAAUUACUGGGCGUAAAGGGCUUGUAGGUGGCCAACUAAGUCAGACGUGAAAUCCCUCGGCUUAACCGGGGAACUGCGUCUGAUACUGGAUGGCUUGAGUGUGGGAGAGGGAUGCGGAAUUCCAGGUGUAGCGGUGAAAUGCGCAGAUAUCGGGAGGAACACCCGUGGCGAAGGCGGCUCUCUGGGACGGUACUGACGCUGAGACGCGAAAGCGUGGGGAGCGAACAGG
rnacentral:rRNA from 1 species